rnacentral:rRNA from 1 species
AGUGGCGAACGGGUGAGUACAAGAUAGGAACGUACCUCAAAGUGGGACAUAGCUCGCCGAAAGGCGAGGUAAUUUCCCAUGUGGUCGCAAGACCAAAGUCGCAAGACGCUUUGAGAGCGGCCUAUCCACUACCAGCUAGUUGGUGAGGUAAUGGCUCACCAAGGCGAUGACGGUUAACGGCUCUUAGCGGAGAGUCCGUCACAAUGGGACUGAGACACGGCCCAUACUUCUACGGAAGGCAGCAGUUAGGAAUUUUGCGCAAUGGACGAAAGUCUGACGCAGCGACAUCGCGUGAGGGAUUAAGGCCUUCGGGUUGUAAACCUCUUUUUGGGAGCCAUGAAGGCGCCCAGAAUAAGUAACUACUAACUACGUGCCAGCAGUCGCGGUAAUACGUAGGUUACAAGCGUUACCCGGUUUUAUUGGGCGUAAAGAGUCUGUAGGUGGUUUUCUAAGUCUUAUUUCAAAGACUCCGACUUAAUCGGAG